rfam:Lyngbya sp. PCC 8106 1099428180536, whole genome shotgun sequence.
GUUGCAAUUAACAAGAAUCCCUAUGAGGGAUUGAAAC